UACGGAGGGAGCUAGCGUUGUUCGGAAUUACUGGGCGUAAAGGGCACGUAGGCGGGUCGGUCAGUCGGGGGUGAAAUGCCGGAGCUCAACUUCGGAACUGCCUUCGAUACUGCCGACCUCGGGCUCGGAAGAGGUGAGUAGAAUUCCUGGUGUAGAGGUGAAAUUCGUAGAUAUCAGGAAGAAUACCAGUGGCGAAGGCGGCUCACUGGUCCGAUGCCGACGCUGAGGUGCGAAAGCGUGGGGAGCAAACAGG
rnacentral:rRNA from 1 species